rnacentral:lncRNA from 1 species
UUGGAAUUCCUUCUAAUACCUUUUUAUAGCUAGUGGCAUUCACAAAUCAAUUUCACCAUCUUUUGCUAAGCAAAACAAUUUCUCAAUUUCAUAUUAAUAGAAGGCUGAAAUAUGACUUGGAAAAAUGUACAACCAUUUUGACAUAAAACCUUCCAGCAGUUUUUGGGUAGAAAGUGGAAACAUUCAUAGAACUUAUAUGAAAGAGCUGGGUAAGGAAACUUCAUAUAUACAUUGUAUAGCUGCUUGCAUUUAUCUAAAUUUAAAUUUUCUUCAUAUUAGAGAAAAAAAUGAUAAUAGCAUUUAGUCCAAUUUGACUCGAGUUCAGUAUUUUCUCAAUUUGUCCACCAUAUCUACUAUUCAUUCCUGAUUAGUACCUGAAACUGCACUCUCCACAAAAUAAUCAUCAGCCUCUACUAUCACAGAUCAGGAAGUGCUCUGAUAAGAUUCAAAAAUGAGUAACAACAUAAUCUUCUCUAAGAUGUUCUAAGGCUGGCUGGGAAUAAAGUCUCGAAUAUUGGAGCUAUUCUUGGGCAUCCUUUUGGAAGAUUACUUUUAUGUUCUUAAUAUAAAUGAUACCUAUCAUUUAUCAUUUGCCUCAAAAAGUG